CCUACGGGUGGCAGCAGUCGGGAAUAUUGCGCAAUGGAGGAAACUCUGAAGCAGUGACGCCGCGUAUAGGAAGAAGUUUUUCGGAAUGUAAACUACUGUUGUUAGGGAAGAGAAUGAACAGUACUAACGGAGGAACCCCCGGCUAACUACGUGCCAGCAGCCGCGGUAAUACGUAGGGAGCGAGCGUUCUCCGGAAUUAUUGGGCGUAAAGGGGGCGUAGACGGGAAAGCAAGUUAGUUGUGAAAUCCCUUGGCUUAACUGUGGAACUGCAACUAAAACUAUUUUUUUUGAGUGCGGGAGAGGUAAGUGGAAUUCUUAGUGUAGCGGUGAAAUGCGUAGAGAUUAGGAGGAACACUAGUGGCGAAGGCGACUUACUGGACUGUAACUGACGUUGAGGCACGAAAGUGUGGGGAGCAAACAGGAUUAGAUACCCCAGUAGUC
rnacentral:rRNA from 1 species